AUUGAACGCUAGCGGGAUGCCUUACACAUGCAAGUCGAACGGAGUGGCGAACGGGUGAGUAAUGUAUCGGAACGUGCCCAGUAGCGGGGGAUAACUACGCGAAAGCGUAGCUAAUACCGCAUACUAUUGGAGCGGCCGAUAGCGGAUUCGCUAGUUGGUGGGGUAACGGCUCACCACGGCGACGAUCCGUAGCUGGUUUGAGCGGAAGACCAGCCACACUGGGACUGAGACACGGGCGAGAAGCCUACGAGAGGCAGCAGGGGGGAAUUUGGGACAAUGGGGGAAGCCCUGAUCCAGCCAUCGCGCGUGUGCGAUGAAGGCCGUCGGGUUGGAAAGCACUUUUGGCAGGAAAGCGGUACCUGCAGAAUAAGCACCGGCUAACUACGUGCCAGCAGCCGCGGUAAUAC
rnacentral:rRNA from 1 species